rnacentral:rRNA from 1 species
GACGAACGUUGGCGGCGUGCUUAAUACAUGCAAGUCAACUGAAGCAGUGGUAGCAAUAUCGCUGUGGAGGUGGCGCACGGGUGAGUAACACGUAGGUAAUCUGCCUUCAGGUCUGGCAUAACUCCGGGAAACCGGGGCUAAUAGCAGAUGAUGCAGCGGCUCGACAUCGAGACAGUUGUUAAAGCUAUGGCGCCUGAAGAUGAGCCUGCGUCUGAUUAGCUAGUUGGCGGGGUAACGGCCCACCAAGGCAACGAUCAGUAGCUGGUCUGAGAGGAUGAUCAGCAACAAUGGAACUGAGACACGGUCCAGACUCCUACGGGAGGCAGCAGUAAGGAAUAUUGCUCAAUGGGAGAAAUCCUGAAGCAGCAACGCCGCGUGAGAGACGAAGGGCUUUUGUUUGUAAACCUCUGUAGUGAGAGAAAAAAAUCCCAAUCUUUGGGACAUGAUGGUAUCUCAAAAGUAAGCCCCGGCUAACUACGUG